rnacentral:rRNA from 1 species
UGAGGAAUAUUAGACAAUGGGCGCAAGCCUGAUCCAGCCAUGCCGCGUGCAGGAUGACGGUCCUAUGGAUUGUAAACUGCUUUUGUACAGGAAGAAACAGUUCUACGUGUAGAACCUUGACGGUACUGUAAGAAUAAGGAUCGGCUAACUCCGUGCCAGCAGCCGCGGUAAUACGGAGGAUCCAAGCGUUAUCCGGAAUCAUUGGGUUUAAAGGGUCCGUAGGCGGUUAGAUAAGUCAGUGGUGAAAGCCCAUCGCUCAACGGUGGAACGGCCAUUGAUACUGUCUGACUUGAAUUAUUAGGAAGUAACUAGAAUAUGUAGUGUAGCGGUGAAAUGCUUAGAGAUUACAUGGAAUACCAAUUGCGAAGGCAGGUUACUACUAAUGGAUUGACGCUGAUGGACGAAAGCGUGGGUAGCGAACAGGAUUAGAUACCCCCGUAGUCCCUGAGCGGGCUGGCAAGGCGCAU